CCCUUCUCUGGGCCCCGCUCAUAGUGGGCGUGGCCUGGUAUUGCUCCUCAGGCACUGGGAUAUGGCGUAACCAUGGGUAGUAAGAUGGCGGCUGUCACUAGAGUCGUACAGGUAGUCAAGCCACAUACUCCCUUAAUAAAGUUCCCAGACAGAAAAAGUAGUCCCAGACCUAAAAUACUGGAAUCUCUACAAACAAGUAUGCCAUCUCUUGGUGCUUCAAAAGCACAGGAGUCUGUAGGAGGCAGAUCACCAGGAUUUCAAAAUAUUUCACCGGUUAGGAGAGUACAAGGUAUACCAGACACUUCUGAAUCAACAAGAACCUUACCUCAGAAAUACAGACGAAAACUAAUGUCAGAUGAAGAGAUUGAUUAUAUUCAAUGCUGUGUUUAUCAGACCUUUCUAAAGUGAGUAAGAGACAUGUUUCUUCAGAGUGGGAGAACUGGAAGAAGCUAUAAAUAUAGGUUGCAGCUUGGAGGUCCAGAAUAAAUAUAGAAGAUUAUUUGCCACUGUUGAAGAGUGAAAUAUUACAUUCACAAUAAAAGCAUUUCCUUAAUAUUA